rnacentral:rRNA from 1 species
UGCUGGGGUAACGUCCCAACAAGCCGAUAAUCGGUACGGGUUGUGAGAGCAAGAGCCCGGAGAUGGAUUCUGAGACACGAAUCCAGGUCCUACGGGGCGCAGCAGGCGCGAAAACUUUACACUGCGCGAAAGCGCGAUAAGGGGACCUCGAGUGCGUGCGCAAAGCGUACGCUCUUCAGAUGCCUAAAAAGCAUCUGGAAUAAGGGCCGGGCAAGACCGGUGCCAGCCGCCGCGGUAACACCGGCGGCUCAAGUGGUGGCCGCUAUUAUUGGGCUUAAAGGGUCCGUAGCCGGACCAGUUAGUCCCUUGGGAAAUCUUACGGCUUAACCGUAAGGCUGCCAAUGGAUACUGCUGGUCUUGGGACCGGGAGAGGCAAGAGGUACCUCAGGGGUAGGAGUGAAAUCCUGUAAUCCUUGAGGGACCGCCAGUGGCGAAGGCGUCUUGCUAGAACGGGUCCGACGGUGAGGGACGAAAGCUAGGGGCACGAACCGGAUUAGAUACCCGGGUAGUCCUAGCCGUAAACGAUGCGAGCUAGGUGUCACGUGGAUUGCGAAUCCAUGUGGUGCCGAAGGGAAACCGUGAAGCUCGCCGCCUGGGAAGUACGGCCGCAAGGCUGAAACUUAAAGGAAUUGGCGGGGGAGCAC